UAGUUGAUUGUCUGGCUUCCUUUCUUUGG
rnacentral:piRNA from 1 species